rnacentral:rRNA from 1 species
UACAGAGGGGGCGAGCGUUGUUCGGAAUUACUGGGCGUAAAGAGCUCGUAGGUGGUUUGUCGCGUUGUUCGUGAAAACUCACAGCUCAACUGUGGGCGUGCGGGCGAUACGGGCAGACUGGAGUACUGCAGGGGAGACUGGAAUUCCUGGUGUGGCGGUGGAAUGCGCAGAUAUCAGGAGGAACACCGGUGGCGAAGGCGGGUCUCUGGGCAGUAACUGACGCUGAGGAGCGAAAGCGUGGGGAGCGAACAGG